rnacentral:ncRNA from 2 species
ACUUUCGCCGUGAAUUUUGGUUUUCAUUACUUAUAUGUGAUGAGAUUAAAAGGGAAUCCAGUGAAAAUCUGGAACUGUUCCCGCAACUGUAAGUUUAUUUCAACAAAAGCUAUUGGCGAAUAUUUUUUGUUUGAAACUUCAUUUUAUGAAGAUGUUAUUUUCUUCAAAGCCACUAUGUUAACCUGAACCGGUUCAGAAUACAUGGGAAGGCAAAAUAGCAUUAAACAAGUCAGGAGACCUGCCUUAUUCAAACGAACAAU